AAGUCGUAACAAGGUUUCCGUAGGUGAACCUGCGGAAGGAUCAUUAACACGUAUCCAACGUUAAAACAACCCCCGUGAACUUUCAGCUUGCUCCUGUAGCCCGUGAAAACAGCAAUCCCUGGUAAAUCAUUGUUGACCAGCUUUUGAGUCAGGGACCUCUGCCGAUUGUGAUAUUUUAUAGCUACGGUUGAGCGAUUGCAUCUAGUGACCUGGCAUCCCCAAGUAAUCAGUGUCUGAAAGUGUCAUUGAUUAUGUAAGGAUGGCGCAGUCACGAGCGACCGGGUCACCGGGGUACGAAUUGGCCGCGCGUGAAAUUCGCACGGCACCAAAAACCGAACAACUGUUAACAAUGGAUAUCUUGGUUCUC
rnacentral:misc_RNA from 1 species